AAAUGAAUAGACGGGGGCCCGCACAAGCGGUGGAGCAUGUGGUUUAAUUCGAUGCAACGCGAAGAACCUUACCAGGUUUUGACAUCUGUGGAACCCUGGUGAAAGCCGGGGGUGCCUUUUAGGAGCCACAAGACAGGUGGUGCAUGGUUGUCGUCAGCUCGUGUCGUGAGAUGUUGGGUUAAGUCCCGCAACGAGCGCAACCCUUGCUACUAGUUGCUAACAGUUAGAGCUGAGCACUCUAGUGGGACCGCCUGUGACAAGCAGGAGGAAGGUGGGGAUGACGUCAAAUCAUCAUGCCCUUUAUGACCUGGGCUACACACGUGCUACAAUGGAUGGUACAGAGAGCCGCGAACCCGUGAGGUCGAGCGAAUCUCAUAAAGCCAUUCUCAGUUCGGAUUGUAGUCUGCAACUCGACUACAUGAAGUCGGAAUCGCUAGUAAUCGCGGAUCAGAAUGCCGCGGUGAAUGCGUUCCCGGGCCUUGUACACACCGCCCGU
rnacentral:rRNA from 1 species